rnacentral:lncRNA from 1 species
GUGGGAGGAAUUGAUUGGGCUGCUAGGGUGUAUAUAUAAUAGACACGCACAGAAAGCCGAAGAGGGGAGUAUUAGAGGGCAGCCAAUUUUCUCUUAUACACACAAGAACUCAUAUAAAAAAGUGAGUUAGCUGGAGAACAAAGAAAAAAGACGGAGGCUUCCAUUGUUGAAAGAAAAUAUGCAUACAUCACAAAAGAGAAAAACCAUAGGAAAAGGGCUACGGUUUGGAAGAAAAAAAAAAGAGGGCAGCUUGCUAUUGGAGUUAAAAAAAAAAAAAAAAAAGGAGGCAAUGGAAAAUGGCAGAAAAAGAGAGGCCGAAAACUGAAGCGGUUGAAUUAAUCAAUUCGGCCAGCUGCUGGGAGAAUUGGUGGGCUGCAAAGUUGACCCGUACACAUAUAUAAUUCCCACAGAACGAGGCGAUGGACAGAAAUGGAAGGAUAAAAAGUGGCAGAAACUGAGCAAUCUUCGGCUGAUUGUGGGGAGUUUUUUGUGUCAAAAAUUUCAGUUGGUUGCUGCAAAUAAAGUCAGUAGUUGGCUGGAGAAAAACAUAGAAGAAAAGUGCUGAAAAAUAUAGACAAAUUGGCGGCUGAUUACAUGAAUUAAUUUGGAACCGACACAGAUUGAGGUGGCAGCUUUUGGAAGGAAUUUGGAAAUCAUUCACGUUCUGUCAAUUAUUCGAUGAUGUUGUUCCAACUUUAUUUGUUUAAUUUUGACAAUAUAUGUGGCUAAUUUUUCUAAUGCUAGGAUGUGAUGAACCCUUAUUAUGAAGUUGUUACUUCGAAUAGAUUAAACUGACAUUAAAUUCGCUUAAUUGUUUUGGUGUUUAUUAUGGUUUAACUUGCUUUUCAAUUAUUUGGCCAAUAAUUGAAUUGUUUGUGGAUUU